UUUGAACGCUGGCGGCAUGCCUUACACAUGCAAGUCGAACGGUAACGCGGGGCAACCUGGCGACGAGUGGCGAACGGGUGAGUAAUGCAUCGGAACGUGCCCAGUAGUGGGGGAUAGCCCGGCGAAAGCCGGAUUAAUACCGCACACGACCUACGGGUGAAAGCGGGGGACCGUAAGGCCUCGCGCUAUUGGAGCGGCCGAUGUCAGAUUAGGUUGUUGGUGGGGUAAAAGCCUACCAAGCCGACGAUCAGUAGCUGGUCUGAGAGGACGACCAGCCACACUGGGACUGAGACACGGCCCAGACACCUACGGGAGGCAGCAGUGGGGAAUUUUGGACAAUGGGGGCAACCCUGAUCCAGCCAUGCCGCGUGCGGGAAGAAGGCCUUCGGGUUGUAAACCGCUUUUGUCAGGGAAGAAACGCUCUGGGCUAAUACCCCGGGGUAAUGACGGUACCUGAAGAAUAAGCACCGGCUAACUACGUGCCAGCCGUCGCCGUAAUAC
rnacentral:rRNA from 1 species